UUAAUUCAAAGGAGAUGGGAGAGAUUCCUCCCUCAAUGAAGUGUCAGAAUGUAGUCUAACGGCCUUCAGAGCUAGGUUUAACAAACUUAUAAAUUCUGAUAAGACUAUGGGCUCAACCUCUAAAUAAAAAAAAUACGAAAGAAAAGCUCAGGUAAGUAAUAAAAGAAACUCAAGCAACUCAUACGACUGAAGGAAAAAAUGAUCAGGG
rnacentral:lncRNA from 1 species